CCACAGAACUUUCCAGAGAUGGAUUGGUGCCUUCGGGAACUGUGAGACAGGUGCUGCAUGGCUGUCGUCAGCUCGUGUUGUGAAAUGUUGGGUUAAGUCCCGCAACGAGCGCAACCCUUAUCCUCUGUUGCCAGCGAUUCGGUCGGGAACUCAGGGGAGACUGCCGGUGAUAAACCGGAGGAAGGUGGGGAUGACGUCAAGUCAUCAUGGCCCUUACGGCCAGGGCUACACACGUGCUACAAUGGCGCAUACAAAGAGAAGCGACCUCGCGAGAGCAAGCGGAUCUCAUAAAGUGCGUCGUAGUCCGGAUCGGAGUCUGCAACUCGACUCCGUGAAGUCGGAAUCGCUAGUAAUCGUGGAUCAGAAUGCCACGGUGAAUACGUUCCCGGGCCUUGUACACACCGCCCGUCACACCAUGGGAGUGGGUUGCAAAAGAAGUAGGUAGCUUAACCUUCGGGAGGGCGCUUACCACUUUGUGAUUCAUGACUGGGGUGAAGUCGUAACAAGGUAAGCGUAGCGAG
rnacentral:rRNA from 1 species